rnacentral:rRNA from 1 species
GAUGAACGCUGGCGGCGUGCCUAAUACAUGCAAGUCGAGCGAACAGAUGAGGAGCUUGCUCCUCUGACGUUAGCGGCGGACGGGUGAGUAACACGUGGAUAACCUACCUAUAAGACUGGGAUAACUUCGGGAAACCGGAUCUAAUACCGGAUAAUAUAUUGAACCGCAUGGUUCAAUAGUGAAAGACGGUUUUGCUGUCACUUAUAGAUGGAUCCGCGCCGCAUUAGCUAGUUGGUAAGGUAACGGCUUACCAAGGCAACGAUGCGUAGCCGACCUGAGAGGGUGAUCGGCCACACUGGAACUGAGACACGGUCCAGACUCCUACGGGAGGCAGCAGUAGGGAAUCUUCCGCAAUGGGCGAAAGCCUGACGGAGCAACGCCGCGUGAGUGAUAAAGGUCUUCGGAUCGUAAAACUCUGUUAUUAGGGAAGAACAAAUGUGUAAGUAACUAUGCCCGUCUUGACGGUACCUAAUCAGAAAGCCACGGCUAACUACGUG